rnacentral:rRNA from 1 species
AUGGGCCAGCCAGCCCAUACCUGUGACCUGACCCGACCCCUCACCUCACGCGCCGCCGCACGGAAGCUUCCAGAGCCCGCGACCAGAACCCGAAUUCCCCUUCCCCUCUCGCGCGACCACGCCCACGCCCACGGGAUUUCCUCCUCUUCUUCUUCAGCGCCCGCCCUCGUCAGAUCCAUCCGUCCGUCCAUCCGUUUUUCCAUUCCAUCCACCUGCCCCGCCUGCCGCCAUCCCCUUCUCGCUCGCAGGGUUCCGUUGCAGGCGACUCGAUCCGGGUCCAUGGCGUCCACGGCUGCGGCGGCGCUCGCGGUGACGGACGAGCUGGCCCUGCCGCUCCGCGCGGUGGGGGACCUGGCGGCGGCCGCCGGGGUCUCGCGGGAGGAGGUCGUCGUCAUCACGCAGUGCGCCUCGCUCGGUGGGAAGUUGCCUUUUGAUGACACAUCCGUGGGUGCUGUUCUGUCUGUCAUAAAAAAUGUGGAGAGCUUUGGGGAUAAGUUGAUUGCUGAAAUUAGUCGAGUGCUGAAAGCUGGUGGAAUUGUGCUGGUACAGAGUUUCACACCCUCCACUGAUCAGAAGCCAAACAAUUAUAUCGAGCGCCAGCUACUCAUGGGAGGUUUUGUUGAAGUUCAAGCUUCUGCCACAAGCUCUCAGGAUAGCGUGCAAUCUGUUACUAUCAAGGCAAAGAAACCAUCCUGGAGUAUGGGCUCAUCCUUUCCCCUGAAGAAAGCAGUAAAGGCUCUUCCAAAGAUUGAAAUUGAUGACGAUGAUGAACUGAUUGACGAAGACAGCCUCUUGACUGAGGAGGACUUGAAGAAGCCACAGCUUCCAGUUGUAGGAGAUUGUGAGGUGGGAGCCACAAAGAAGGCGUGCAAGAACUGCAGUUGUGGCAGGGCCGAGGCUGAGCAGAAGGUGGAGAAGCUGGGACUCACUGCAGAACAGAUUGAUAACCCUGUCUCAGCUUGUGGCAGUUGUGGGUUGGGCGACGCGUUCCGAUGCAGCACCUGCCCAUACAGAGGCCUGGCGCCGUUCAAGUUGGGCGAGAAGGUUACCUUGUCUGACAACUUCCUCUCGGCCGACAUAUGA